UACGUAGGGGGCUAGCGUUGUCCGGAAUCAUUGGGCGUAAAGAGCGUGUAGGCGGCUUGAUAAGUCUGCUGUGAAAGUCCAGGGCUCAACCCUGGAAUGCCGGUGGAAACUGUCAAGCUAGAGUCCGGAAGAGGCGAGUGGAAUUCCUGGUGUAGCGGUGAAAUGCGCAGAUAUCAGGAGGAACACCAAUGGCGAAGGCAGCACUCUGGGACGUGACUGACGCUGAGACGCGAAAGCGUGGGGAGCAAACAGG
rnacentral:rRNA from 1 species